GAUGAACGCUGGCGGCGUGCUUAACACAUGCAAGUCGAACGAGAAGUGAAGACGGAAACCUUCGGGCGGAAGGCUUUAUUUCGAGUGGCGGACGGGUGAGUAACGCGUGGGUAACCUGCCUCAUACAGGGGGAUAACAGUUGGAAACGACUGUUAAUACCGCAUAAGACCACAGCACCACAUGGUGCGGGGGUAAAAACUCCGGUGGUAUGAGAUGGACCCGCGUUCGAUUAGCCAGUUGGCGGGGUAACGGCCCACCAAAGCGACGAUCGAUAGCCGAUCUGAGAGGAUGACCGGCCACAGUGGGACUGAGACACGGCCCAAACUCCUACGGGAGGCAGCAGUGGGGAAUAUUGCACAAUGGGGGAAACCCUGAUGCAGCGACGCCGCGUGAGUGAAGAAGUAUUUCGGUAUGUAAAGCUCUAUCAGCAGGGAAGAAAAUGACGGUACCUGAGUAAGAAGCCCCGGCUAACUACGUG
rnacentral:rRNA from 1 species